rnacentral:ncRNA from 1 species
AAGGUGUAAAGUAUCGUAUAAUCCCUCAGAUAUGGUGGGGGAGUCUCUACCCUGGUACCGUAAAUCCAGGACUAUGAUAGAAUUU